UCCAUGUUCUGCUCCUUGGCCCGCCUGA
rnacentral:sRNA from 1 species